AUCGAGGCUAGAGUCACGCUUGGGUAUUUGCUAUUGCCUUAGUGUGCUAGAGUCCUCGAAGAGCAACUGCUACCCUUAUUCUCUGACUGUGGUCCCCCUAUGGCAUAGUCAGUCACCAGGUUAGUGACAUGC